UCCCUGGUGGCUUGGACAGUAAAGCGUCUGCCUGCAAUGCGGGAGACCUGGGUUCGAUCCCUGGGUUGGGAA
rnacentral:tRNA from 1 species